rnacentral:lncRNA from 1 species
GAAGCUUUGCUUCUUUGUGGUUCUGGAUUGAACCAUGCAUUGAUCUUAUCAAGAAACCACGUUUCUUGUGGCGAUCCUCUAUCGAAUUAAACAUCUUCCUUGGAUUGGGAAUUUGUUUGGUUAUCAUUUCUGUCUAUUUCCACCAUUCUUCACUUUUUAUUCAAAUACGAUUUUUUUUGUCAUUCAUCAAGUGGUAUCAGAGCUCUAGAUAUGAUGAAUACAAGACAG